UACGGAGGGGGCUAGCGUUGUUCGGAAUGACUGGGCGUAAAGCGCGCGUAGGCGGAUCGUCAAGUCGGGGGUGAAAUCCCGGGGCUCAACCCCGGAAUGGCCUUCGAGACUGGCGGUCUUGAGUUCGAGAGAGGUGGGUGGAAUUCCGAGUGUAGAGGUGAAAUUCGUAGAUAUUCGGAGGAACACCAGUGGCGAAGGCGGCCCACUGGCUCGACACUGAUGCUGAGGCGCGAAAGCGUGGGGAGCAAACAGG
rnacentral:rRNA from 1 species